ACAAAAACGAUGACGGAGACAAGUAAGCAAACAUAUGCUUUCAGAGAAUGGGAGUUUGGUGGGAACCCAUAAGCUAAAGUUUGUUGAAAAUCACUCCAGAGUUGCAGACUGAAAUUAUUUAGAGUAAGUUGUGCCGGUAAUGCCGUUAUAAUCAUAAGUAAUAAUUUGGGUGGUACCGCGACAGACAUUCGCCCCAUAA
rnacentral:ncRNA from 1 species